UACAGGGGGUGCAAACGUUGCUCGGAAUCAUUGGGCGUAAAGCGCACGUAGGCGGUCUGUUAUGUCGGAUGUGAAAGCCCUUGGCUUAACUGAGGAAGUGCAUCCGAAACUGGCAGGCUAGAGUACUAAAGAGGGUCGCGGAAUUCCCGGUGUAGAGGUGAAAUUCGUAGAUAUCAGGAGGAACACCGAUGGCGAAGGCAGGUCUCUGGGCAUUAACUGACGCUGAGGAGCGAAAGCAUGGGGAGCGAACAGG
rnacentral:rRNA from 1 species